rnacentral:rRNA from 1 species
UACGUAGGGUGCGAGCGUUGUCCGGAAUUAUUGGGCGUAAAGAGCUCGUAGGCGGUUAGUCGCGUCUGCUGUGAAAACUCGGGGCUUAACUCCGGGCCUGCAGUGGGUACGGGCUGACUAGAGUGCGGUAGGGGAGACUGGAAUUCCUGGUGUAGCGGUGAAAUGCGCAGAUAUCAGGAGGAACACCAAUGGCGAAGGCGGCUCGCUGGGACGGUACUGACGCUGAGGCGCGAAAGCGUGGGGAGCAAACAGG